rnacentral:rRNA from 1 species
GAUGAACGCUGGCGGCGUGCCUAAUACAUGCAAGUCGAGCGAACAGACGAGGAGCUUGCUCCUCUGACGUUACCGGCGGACGGGUGAGUAACACGUGGAUAACCUACCUAUAAGACUGGGAUAACUUCGGGAACCCGGAGCUAAUACCGGACAAUAUAUUGAACCGCGUGGUUCAAUAGAGAGCGACGGUUUUGAUGACACUUAUAGAUGGUACCGGGCCGCAUUAGCUAGUUGGUAGGGUAACGGCUUACCAAGGCGACGAUGCGUAGCCGACCUGAGAGGGUGAUCGGCCACACUGGAACUGAGACACGGUCCAGACUCCUACGGGAGGCAGCAGUGGGGAAUCUUCCGCAAUGGGCGAAAGCCUGACGGAGCAACGCCGCGUGAGUGAUGAAGGUCUUCGGAUCGUAAAGCUCUGUUAUUAGGGAAGAACAAAUGUGUGAGUAACUAUGCACGUCUUGACGGUACCUACUCAGAAAGCCACGGCUAACUACGUG